ensembl:snRNA U2 U2 spliceosomal RNA
UGUCCUCCAUAGGAGGUCUAUAUUGAGCUGAUUCUUUUUGGUAUUGGGUGGUGGAACCGAAGCGUGCUCCAUCCACUCCAUGCAUUGACCUGGUAUUGCAGUGCUUCCAGGACCGGUGC